rnacentral:tRNA from 1 species
GGCGGAAUUGGUAGACGCGCUUGACUCAAAAUCAAGUUCUGCAAGGAGUGUCGGUUCGAGUCCGACC